rnacentral:rRNA from 1 species
CGACCCCAGGUCAGGCGGGACUACCCGCUGAGUUUAAGCAUAUAAAUAAGCGGAGGAGAAGAAACUUACAAGGAUUCCCCUA